UGGUGUGGAUGCAAUGAAGGCUGAGAUGCAGGUGGAAAUUCUGAAAUAGUUUUGUCAUCUUGAAAGCCAAUUACUUGCUCCAAUGCUGCAUUUCCAGAUUCAAGGUUUGAGGACAAAUUUUACCUCCUGUGAUCAGACAGGAUGCUUGCUUCGGAGGAGAUAAAAAUCCAGAGUUUCUUUCUGGCAUUCCUGACCAGAGAACCAAGGACAUUUCUGGACCUGCUACCUUGGGGGCCUCUGCUUUGAGCUGUGUGUCCAGUUUCUACCUGCUCUUCUCAUCAUUUCCCCCUCUGAAGAGGUCUUCUGCAGGUAAUCAAUGGCUGCUAAGACUUCAAGUGUACAAUGGCCAUGUCAUGGCAGGAAGACUGUGUUCUACAAUUUGCCACCACUUUUUCCUGCUUUUACCUUCCUUACUGGACCCUCUUCUGAAACAUUCCCUGAGCCUCGGAGUGGAGGAUACAGAUGUCCUAUUUAGGACUGAGCACAGAAUCUGCAUUUUAACAAAAUCUUCAAUC